AGAACAACUGUACUCGAAUAAAAAUGACUUUUGCACAAUCGAUAAUAUUAGCGCCUUGCCCAACAUUGCAGAAUUGUUGCCAUUGAUUUCCUGGGAUAGUCAUAACCCUGCAGGAGGUCACGUGCCAGGUUUCUAAAAAGUAAACAAAAACAUGAACGUUGAAUGUCCGCUAGCUAUUUUGUUUGGUUACAGCUAUUCUUUAGUUUGUACACGAAUGUAAUUUAAUGCAAAAUAUAUUUUAUUUUAUUUUAGAGUGAGCACCUGAAGCCAAAUCAAGAUGACAAGCCCAAACCGAGACAUCCCCAUCCACAGCUGGCCAGGCUCCUACUACAUCAACAGCGAGAAGCGCUGGGAGGCCGGGACCCUGUCCCUGACCCGCACCAUAUUGCGCUUCACCUCACACCAGAGCAAAGAGAACCUGGUUGGCUUCCGCCUCACCAGGAUUACGGAGAUCAAGAUGGAGUCGUCCAGCUUCAUCUUCAGCACUCUGACUGUGUUGGAACAGGGGAAUCUCAAGCACUGGUUCGGCUCACUGAGGCCCAACCGGUUGGUGGUCUACAAUGUCCUGGAGCAUUUCUGGAGGGAGAGGUUGUUGUCCCCCUCUACUGAGGUCCAGGGGGCCGAGGCACAGCCCACCAAGGGGAGGGAGCUGAUUAACCUGGUGGCAGGGGCUCAAAGACGGCUAGAGGACACAGGGAAUGUCCUCCACCACCAGGGAGAGCAGUUUGAUAACGUCAUGCAGGGCCUGGACAAGAUCGACUCUGAUCUGGGCGUGGCAGACAAGCUACUGUCUGAACUGCAGUCUCCCCCUUGGUGGCCUUUUGGCAAAUUACCCUGGAAGAGUCAGCAGGAUGCCAAUGCUGAGCAUGCUGCCAGAGAGGCCACUUGUAAGGGAACAGCAACAGGCAAGCACAGAGGGAUCACCAGCAUACCAGCCAUCGUUUCCAGAGGUGGAGACUCGGACCUGAAGCCUGGCUGCUUGAUGGUGAUGGUCUCCUCUUUAGAAGUCCGAGACACAAACUAUGUGCUCCUCCACCGCUUUGAGAGGGACGAGGUGGAUGACAUCCGGGUGCACAACCCUUAUGAGAUCAGUGUGAGGCAGAGGUUCAUAGGGAAGCCAGACAUAUGCUUCAGACUCCUGUCGGCUAAAAUGCCGGAGGCCAUGUCUGUGCUAGAGAUGCAGUAUAAGAAGAAGGUAGAGUACACGAGUGAGUACUCUGCCUUUAAGACGACCCCAGCCACAACCCCAGGUGACCAGAAUCAAGGUUUAAUAUGGAAUGCAGCAGGCUUGCAGCAGUACCAGGAGACAGAGGUCCCCAGUACGGUCCCAGCAGGAGAGCUUUCCCAGGUGCAUCUACAUGUCCUUACGCCAGAGGUUACUCAGGCUGAGGUUCAGGAGCUCCGACAGAUGCUAAUGCAGUUGAAAAAUCUUGCUCUGGAGGCUGAGACUGAGCUGGAGAGGCAAGACGAGGGCCUGGAUGUUCUGACCACCUCUACGGACCAGGCCACCAUGCACAUAGACAAACACACCUGCCGCAUGAAAAGGCUGCUUUGCAGGUGUCAGUAAAGCCAUCCCCCUCCCUCCAUGCACAUGGUUUCCCUCCAGCUCCAAGUGUUGCAUGUUCCCAUGUUUCUGCUGAGUAAAGCGAUGCAUCGAGUGGGAUCUGUAGAACUGUGAGACGGAGGUGCACUUUGUUGGAUUUCCGUUUCUCUUUAUUCAGAGAGUGACUCUCAUCUCUGCUAGAGGGAGUGAACUGCGAGUCGCCCUGGCCAAAGUAAACUCCAACCAUGGUCUGGUCUUUCUGAAGCAACUCGAAUGAAGGUCUACUACUCCAUAAGCAUUGGUGUGUGAGAACAGCACCGGCCUACUGUAUUGAACAGCUGAAACAAUUGUGUGAUCACUAUUUAAACUUAAAUUGACUUGUAUGUAGUGACAGGUAGGUUUUAGCUGAAAAGUAAACCAAUGUGGGAUUGUUACCCAUUAUUUAAUAUUUACACAGUAAACAUCUUAAAAUAUACCAGAUUCUAAUUGUUCUCAAGGAGCAGUGCCACUGUUCAUGAUUAAAUAUAGGGAAAUUUAAUCAUUGUUGUUGAAGGACUGAUAAUGGGUAAAUUUCCUUUGAGAUAGUAUCCUAAUGAGUGGUGUCUCAGUUAUGUAUGAUCAUGACACUUGUUGGCUGUAGAUUCAGAAGAGGGCAGCAGUGAGUUGCUUAUUCAAGGGAAUGUUGGGAAAUGGGUAAAUGCAGUUAAUUGAUAGACAAUUAUUAGACCUCGUGAAGUUUCAGUACUUGGGUCUGGUGUCUUAUUUCUAUUGAAGCUGUAUGUAAAGUUUUCACUAUUUUGUUGUGAUCGAUUUGUGUUACUUUACAUUCUAGAUAUGUUAACCGAUGCUUCACUCUGAACUAGAUUUGUCAAUGGGCUUCUUAUUGAGCAACCCUCAAAUUGUAAGCUAAAAUAUCAACCCACAAUUUGACAGUCACGGUUCUUUCUCUAUUUCAUUCCAAUUUUGGGUUCCUUAUUUUCCUCUUCGUAAUGAUAUAAAAAUUAAAAAAAUCUGCCCCAUCUUCAUUUCUACUCUUUCAUAUUAUGGAACAGUUACAGGGAAUUGGAAACCAUUUCCCAAAUAAACAUUUUCUUGUUUUCUUUCUGAAACCUACCCUAAAAACGCCUCACACUUCUCUUGUGUCUGCUGAAUGAAAACACAAUGGUCUGGAGUGUAGCCUACCUUUGGCAAAGAGUUAGGAGCUAGGGACGGGGUCUUUUUGUGAUGACUGGAUUAUGUAUUCAUUAAAAUCACAUCUAUACUGCUCCCCAAACAGGUUGUCAGGCUGGGAGCCAGCUCACACCGCAUCAGUACUUUUACGAGUGGGCCCCCCAGAAACCUUCAGCGAGACUGUUUUUAGUGGCUCUUGAUGCAAAUGGAAACACUUAGCUCCCACAAUAAAUUACCCUGCAGCCAGAGAUGGUGAUGCCACACUGCACAGACCCCCAGCCCUGCCACUCUGCCCGGUUAGAGAGAUACUUGCACACGUAGCAGCAGAAGUGUUUGGAUUGAGCAAAAGUAGCAGUUAUGGAUAGUGGAAUGAUGAUGGCAGACAGUGAACGGACAUAAACAAGAAAAAGGAAUGGGGUUGUUAUACUAGGGUGUAGUGUCCUCUGGUGAAGAGUGAUAAAGGCAGGAGAUAUCAUAGCCCCCCCCCCCCCCCCCCCCCCGGGGUUGAGAUUGGGUUCGUGUCAGGAUAGUCGAGUGUCUUGCUCUUCAUUUUUUGGAGGAAAAUAGAUAAACAACCAUUAGUGUUGUUGGAGUUCAGUGCUCUCUAGAGUAAUACUCCCAUCUCACCAAAGUACUACUAUUCAAUAUAGCUACUAUUAUUCUGAAUAUGCUUUGUAUGAUUAAUAGAUACAUUAUAAAAGCUCUAUAGGCUAUUGUCAAAUCAAGUAGCACUUUCUCGGCCAAUCAAUGACAUACUCUCUUUCUACCAGACUCGGAUGUGGUCAAGUUCAAACAUUACAACAACACACUUACAGGUACUUUACUUAAACUGCUGUAUUAGAAGUCCAGGUGCAUAAGGAAAUAAUAGUUGCAAAAUGGUGUGUUGCCUUUGCCUAAGAACACCUACCCAAAUAAAUAAUCCAAAUUAUUAUGCCUGCUGGUUCUAACUUGUUUGACCGCCUAAUGAUGUAAUUGCAGCUGACCAAACUGAUUGUUGUUGAAAUAUUGCCCCGCUGUUAUAGCUACGUUGUGACAAUGUUGUGUGUUCACCGAGAGGGCCAAUGGCACAACCAUAACAAACACAACAAACACAGCUGAAUGUGGGG